rnacentral:rRNA from 1 species
CAGUCGCCGCGGUAAUACGUAGGGUGCAAGCGUUAAUCGGAAUUACUGGGCGUAAAGCGUGCGCAGGCGGUUUGUUAAGACAGAUGUGAAAUCCCCGGGCUCAACCUGGGAACUGCAUUUGUGACUGGCAAGCUAGAGUCUGGCAGAGGGUGGUGGAAUUUCCUGUGUAGCGGUGAAAUGCGUAGAUAUAGGAAGGAACAUCAGUGGCGAAGGCGACCACCUGGACUGAUACUGACACUGAGGUGCGAAAGCGUGGGGAGCAAACAGGAUUAGAUACCCGAGUAGUCCCUGUCUUUUAUAC